UUUGAUAUUAUAUUUUCCUGGAAAAUUCAUAAAAAAAUGUGCAAUCCAUUACUGUUAUUUGCCAUUUUAGUAGGUAAAAAUUUACCCACAGUGAAUCUAUAUAUUUUCAUGCAAUGAGAUAUUAUAGUAGAAAAAUCGAUGGAUUUUACAGUAUUGAUCAAAUUUGUGAGGUUCUUAUUCCUUGGAGCUCGAGGCUACUAGGAUAAGGUUAGGUUAAUAGUCAUUGUUCAUAUUUUUUUUUUUUUUUUUUUUUUUUNNN
rnacentral:lncRNA from 1 species